CAUCGAAUCAUCAAAAUUUAAUUAUCAAAACCGAUCUCAAGUUUCAAAAACAUCACGAUGUAAGUUGAUGAAAAAAUAAUUUUUAGAAAUUCAAAAAAUUGACACCAAUUUGUCGUAACACGUUCAAAAUAGAGAUUUAACUAAUAUGACACCGGGGGUGGCUCUUUGAGCAUCUUAUCAACUUACCACCUUAUAACUCCGAAAAUUCUAAAAUAUUUAUUUUUUUUAAACCUCUUUCGGUUAAUCAAUUUAUUCUUCAUGUGGUAGCUUCACACACUUGCCGGACGACCG
rnacentral:lncRNA from 1 species